rnacentral:lncRNA from 1 species
UUAAUUUAUUCAUUUUUUGUUCAGUAUUGUCCUGCUCCAACUUCCUGUUUCAAGGGGAAGUAUGUCAACACUGAGAAGAAAACUGCUCUUCAUUUCAUUUAAUAAUUUGUGAUUUUUCUUUCUGACUGGAAUUACUCGCUUGAACAAUUGCAAAUUGAAAUGGAGCUGCACCUGAAAGAAAUAAUGACCCCACAAUUCAGGAGGACAGAACGUGUUGUGCACAGUAUUAAGACCUUCAUAAUUCAUCUCUCAGCCCUUCAAACUCAAGACAAGCAUGAAGUAAUAAUGAAAAAGAAAAGAGCAAGUAGUUGUCAAAGAGCUGAACAUGGAAAAUGCCUUGCCGAGUAAUUUUGGACAUCCGAUACAUGCUCAACCUCGCCAGCAAAAGUACGCAGAAAAACAAACG